rnacentral:rRNA from 1 species
UACGUAGGGUGCAAGCGUUGUCCGGAAUUAUUGGGCGUAAAGAGCUCGUAGGCGGUUUGUCGCGUCUGCUGUGAAAACUCGGGGCUUAACUCCGGGCCUGCAGUGGGUACGGGCAGACUAGAGUGUGGGAGAGGGUGGUGGAAUUCCCGGUGUAGCGGUGAAAUGCGUAGAUAUCGGGAGGAACAUCAGUGGCGAAGGCGACCGCCUGGCCCAACACUGACGCUGAGGUGCGAAAGCGUGGGUAGCAAACAGG